GGGCCGUUAGCUCAGUUGGUAGAGCAGCUGACUCUUAAUCAGCGUGUCGCGGGUUCGACCCCCGCACGGCUCACCA
rnacentral:tRNA from 1 species